UUCCUACGGGGCGCAGCAGUAGGGAAUCUUCCACAAUGGGCGAAAGCCUGAUGGAGCAACGCCGCGUGGGUGAAGAAGGUCUUCGGAUCGUAAAACCCUGUUGUUAGAGAAGAAAGUGCGUGAGAGUAACUGUUCACGUUUCGACGGUAUCUAACCAGAAAGCCACGGCUAACUACGUGCCAGCAGCCGCGGUAAUACGUGGGUGGCAAGCGUUGUUCGGAAUAACUGGGCGUAAAGGAUGCGUAGGCGGUUAAACAAGUUAUAUGUUAAAUAUUUAGGCUUAACCUGUAGAAAGCAUAUAAAAC
rnacentral:rRNA from 1 species